rnacentral:lncRNA from 1 species
GGAGUAUGAAUUAUGAACAUAAUAACCAAAAUUUACCAAAUUUGAAGUUACACGAUGUGUCGAUGCAUAUUAUAUUGGUAACUUAGUCUUAUACAAUAACAAAACAUCGAUUUCUUCUUUUUCUAGUAAUCGAAGGUACAACAAUACUAAAAAUAUAUUCUGAAGAGAGUGAUUCGUACUAAUAUAUAAUCCCAAAAAUAUAUAUUAAGCAAGGCAUAUACACGGUAACAUUUAUUUCACCUAUUUAUAAUUUCGCUAAUAGAAGAAGUGAGGGCGUUAGCGGUCGUUUUCCUCGUUGAUGAUGGCCUUCUUGGUUCUGAUAAACUCGAUACAGUCAGCCACGGCUUCGCUGUGAUAAGUAUCAGUGGUCUUAUAGUACUUUUGGGUUGGCGUCUGUUUGUUAUUAUGACGGCGAGAUGUUGACUUGGAGACGGCAGAUAUCAUGAUGAGGUGGAGAACAGCUUCGCGAAAACGGUCUAGGAGAGUCAGAGACGUUACACUAAUCUCCCGAUCACCAGUGCUUCUGGCGUUGGUUUUUACUCGUGGGACACAUCCGGCGCCGGAGCUCUUGGUCCUCAUCUACAAGCUUUGAUGAUUUUUUUUUUUUGGUUGAACAAGCUUUGAUGAUUAUGUGUGUUCCUCUUCGGCUAUCGCAUGUGGGGUUUUAUUUAUACACGAGAAUCUAAUGAUCCAAGGGAGGCGCAGUUUUAUUAUCAAAUUGGUUUCGUCUUUUGCUUAUUUUAUUAGUAUCUCUUCUUAGUGAUGAGACUUUCAAGUUCCAAUAUCAAAGAUAUAAAAAUCCUUUAAGGCUGGUCAAGUUUAAGUUUUGGUGAAUAGUACAUUUAAUGUGUGUGUUUAUAACAUGGUCGGGACAUUUUAAGACCAUAUCUCAUUCGCAUGCAAAUAGCCAUUUAAAGCAUUUUUAUUUGUUAGGUGGCUCUUUUUUCAAAAACAUAUACACGUAGAUAUAUGCAGGGCCGGCUCAAUUAUUGACGAGACCCGGUGCUAGAUCUGUCCCAAAGAAAUUAAGGGCCCUUAGACAAUUAUUUUUUUUUGUCUAUUAUUAUAAUUUAAAAAAAAAUACCAAAUUUGUAUUCAACUAAUUGUUGUUUUUAAUUAUAGAAAUGUUAUUUUCUUAAACUUGGAUUUUUUUAUAUUGUUUUUAACAAAAUUUGGGAUUUUUAAAGUAUAAUUUUUUAUUUAGUUGGUUAUUUUAUAAAAAGUUGGGAUUUUUUUAUUAAAAAAAAUAAAAUAAAAAUAAAUUGGACCCUAGGAAGCUAGGACCCUGUGCCCUAGCACUCCUAGCACAUGUGCUAAGCAGGGCCUGGAUAUAUGCAUACUUGAUAGUUGAUACUUGUAUAGAAUGGGCAAGGGAAGAAUUGUGUCCAUGAAUGGAUUUACAAGAUGGGGCAGAGUUAAAGAACUUGUCUUAAGGAAUUGGUGCAUACUUAAUAAAUAGAGAAUGCGGGUCAUUGUCUUAACUGACGUCGUCUGAUGAUUUUCACAUGGUCACAUGUGCAAGUUUUCACCAAUAUAUAAUCUCUCAUAAUUUACAGCAUGAAUUCUAUAUAGUACACAAUCAAACUUAUUUAUACAUUUCAUUGCAUUGUUAAAACAUUUGAGCCGACUCACCGGCCAAUGCAAAAAUUGAAAGAGAUAGUAAUUGAUAUAAUCAUCCUAGAUAUAGACAAAUUUAGGAUGGUUUAAUAAAGAGACAUGAAUUUGUUUAAUUGUCUCAGGUCUACGUCGAAAAGUACAGCUCAUCUCAUGGAUAUCAUAUAGUACUUUAUCAAUAGAUUAAUUUUUUGUAUGUAUCUGUAGUUGACCAAGUACAGUGGUUUAUAGAUAACAGAGCUGUUCCACUUGCUAUAGAAUCGGAUGAACCAAUAGAACUAUGUUUUUUUUGUUACUAAUCUAUAGAUGUUAAUGCAAAUGUCUAAUCUUGAUAUCGGUUAAGUCCGGUUAAGGUGUUUGAUGGACUCCAAUUGAAAGCCUUUUGCACAACAGGGCGAGAGAAGAAAGAUAGAAAAAGAAACGUCAAAUUCCGAUUAC